GUGAUGGAGGCUCUGCUCCUGACACCGCCCACAUACACCUCACUCUUGGGCUCUGUCCACACACACACACACACACACCCGGCCAUCUGCCUUGAUCCUGGGGCGUGGGGCAAGGCGGCUGCCCGGGCUUUAGGGCCAAGUGGCCAGGGGAAGCUCGCUACAGAAGCUGCCACUGAUGGCGUGCUGUGCUGCUUGGAAACAAACCGACUGUGUUUUGGAAAUUUCUGAAGCCCAAAGCCUCUUUGAGAACCAAAUCCCUCUUCCUCUGACCUCAUGAGCCCCGAAGCAGCAAAGGAACAGAACAGAGCUGCAUGUGGCCGCUGUCCUUGUGGACAGGAUACUGAGCGGGUCUGCACACACCAAACUUUGCUCCCAGCCUUGCUGGAGUGUCAGGCCGGUUGAAAUAACCAUUCCCAGAACUCUGCAGGCUCAGUGCCUGGAGACCAAGGUUCUGAAGCACGAAGCACUGCUCUGCCAAGCACCUCCACCCUCACCCCGAAAACCGUGUCCUAAACCCCAGGGCGGGGUUCAGAGAGACCCUGACUCACCCCUAAAAGCCGCGGGAAGGUCCCCUGUGCCAGGCCUCCAGAUGCCUCUCGCCCUCCCCGGCCCACCUAGUCUGCAGUCCUUUACUUGGGUUGCUCUGGCAUCCCUAUUCUGGGGCCUCCUGUGAGCCCCACCGCGUGGGGGUGAAGAGGCGGGUGCCACGUGGGAGCGGCUCUGGCCUGGGCUCCCCAUCUCCCAAGGGUGACAAAUUCAGAUCCAUUCCAAACGUGUGCUCGCGAGGGAGUGCGGCGCUCCCCUCCCCCACCCGGUCAGGACUCUGCCCGCUUCCUCCGCCCCAGAGGCGCCCCAGAGCCCCGGGCUGUCCGCAAACAGGGACUUUCCACCUUCAGCAAAACAAACCACAGGGCGAUCGCCGCAGAGCAGAGAAGGAACCCAGCGGGCAGGCGCCAGCAGCGCUGCGGCGGGAGCUGCACAUUCUCUGCAGGGAGAGCAGGGAGGAUUAUCACUGAGGCUUGGUGCCAGCAUUAUGGAUCCACUGCUCCUGGUGGCCUUUUUUAUUGCAUAGGACAGAGAGAUAUCUUGAGAGGGGAGAAGAGAGGGAGCUAGAAACGACACAGUUUAUUCGCCCUGAGCGGCCUCUUACCGCCAGAAGGGCACUGCCCGCAGUCGCGACCCCCCCGGGCCCCCGCCACACCUCCAGGCUUUUGCUCACACUCACACCUGGUGUCUCUGCUCAACAUCUAUCUAGAAUAAGAUUCCGCGCCUUAUUCAUCAUCAUCAUCAGCACCGCCAGGGCUUUCUGCCGGUGUGACUCCACCUUCCAGACAGAACGGGGGAGGUGGCUAUAUACCAUGGAACGCAGAUGAAGCUUCCCUCCACUCGGCACGGUGCUCCCACAUGCCGGCCCUGGGCUUGAACCUCUGUCCCCUCCCACAUGUAAACUGUGCACUCUAGCAGGUGAGCUCUCUCUCUCUCACACAUGGCCACUGUAUUGAUUUCGUUCAAAGACGGAUACCAGAGCACGGCUGUCACUCACGUGUGGUGUGAGGCGCUGAGCCCAGAGGCUCAGACAGGCCUCAGGUGCUCUACCUCCUUGGGCCGACUUUUCACUCUCUUAGCCGGAGCACUGCUCAGCUCGGGCUUAUGGUGAUGUGGGGGACUGAACCUGGAACCUUGGAGGCUCAGCAUGAAAGUCUUCUGCAUAACCAUAUAUUAUCUCCUUGGCCCCUUAGCCCCUUGGCCUAUUUGGCAACUUAGAAAUAUCAGAACUCCCUCCUGCCUUCAGCAGGCCCACAGGCAUCAAGGCCACCCACUUAAAACGUCCCCAAACAGGGCCUCGGACAAACUGACCACCCACCUGGGACUUCAACAGUAAGACAAUACUCCUUUCACU